CCAGUGAUUCAACCGCGCCACCGAGCGCGGAGCUGCCCUGGAGGACGCAGGCGGGUCUAGUUGCCCGGGUCCCCCAAGGCCCCCGGAUUCACCCAGGCCCGCGACUCCGACGUGCAGCUUAGGUGGGUUGCAGGUCUAUGGCAGGAAAGGGAGGGCGCCUUGGAAGAAUUCUUCCCUUCCAUUUGGUGAUAAAGUGGGAGAGGCGGCAUUUACAACAUUUAAUAGAAAGCACGGGCUCUGGGCUCCCCUCGGGCAGCGGAGGGCAUUUCCCGGAUGCUUUGCCCACCUGGGGCAGAAGCUCGGGACCUGCAGCGAAGUAAACGUGUGGCUGUGAGCAGGGCCCUCUCCCAGCCACGGUGGCUUCUUCUACCCCACGAAGGUCAAGAAUACCUGGCCUGCCCACCUCGCGGGGCCCUUAGCGGGUCGCACAGGAGAAAGGCGGUGGGAAUGCCGGUGUCAGCCACGGUGUGACCGGCUCGGCUCACAGGUCUGAGGGUCAGUUGGCUCAGGCAUCGCCCGGUACGACCAGAGAUAGUGACUGAGGAAGAGCAGCCUCACAUCUGGCAGUUUGCCUCUGGGAGAAUUCCAGCGUGACAUCUGCAGCUCUGUGGUUCCAGAAAGGAUGGUUCCCACAUUGAAGAAGACAUCUGUGGGACUGAGUUCCACCGAAAUGCAGAGGAACCAAAAAUGAAAAUGAAAAAUGUAACCAGAGUUGUGUGCCACUAGUUUUAAGCUUUGGUUUUUCUAAAUUAUUUUCUGGCUUCUCCUUCUGGGCUUUGCUGUAAACUUGCCAAGCAUGAGAACAACUCUUCAUCUAUUGAGUGGCAUUUUAAGCCAUCCUGUCAAAGUAUCUCCUGUCAUUUUUAUUAUUAUUACUCUAUAUUGCCUGCAAGACACGACUGGAGAAUUCUUAGUGUAAGAAUUGUUUGUUUCCUCUCUCCUUCUUUCCCACGUUUUCCCAGGGAAGUCAGUCUUGCAUUUUAAUGCAUACUAUAUACAUAUCUCGUUUAGCUUACUGAACCACUUGUUUUAACAGAAUAAAACUGUGCAAAAUUUUAAU
rnacentral:lncRNA from 10 species